rnacentral:rRNA from 1 species
UAAAUUCUUGUGCCAGCAACUGCGGUUAAACAGGUAGAUCAAGUUAAGACAUGAUCAGUAAAAAAUAGGGUUAGUGAAUUUUAUAAUAAGUUAAUUAUUAUGUCAUGUAGAUAAAAAUUUAAUUUAAAAUUUCAUCAUGAAUUAAGUUGAGGUGUAAUUCUUACUUUUAUGUAAAUUUCGUAAUUUUUUUAUUCAUGAAGCCUUGAAACUUGUUGACGAGACCAGGAUUUGAUACCCUGUUAUUGUUAGUGUAAAUUUUGGUUUGAAUACCUACUGGGGUAUUACGGAUUGGUUGAACAAAAAAUGUUUAAUUUGGUGAUAAAUUUGUAUGAUUAGGAAUCUAAAACUCAAAAAACUUGGCGGUGCUUCAAAUCUAUCUAGGGGAACUUGUUUCUUAAACCGAUAAUCCACGUUUAAUCUGACCUUAUCUUGUAUUUAGUAAUAGAUUUUUUCAUGAUAUAUAAUUUAUUAAAAUAUUACUGAAUUAACAGCUUGUAUACCGUCGUCGAUUUGGGCUAUCUUUAAAAAGAAUAAAAAUUGCCGAAAGGGAAAUAUGGAAUUAAUAUUUUAUGUUCUUAUAAAUAAUUGUAAAUAACAUGUUUAUUAAUUGUAUACUCCAAUAAGUCAGAUCGUGGUGCAGCUAAUGAUGGGGGGAGAGUGAGUUACAAUAAUUAAAUUAUGUAUACGGAUUUUUAAUACUUUGAAAUAGGUAAAUGAAGUUGGACUUAGUAGUAAUUGUGAAUUUAAAUUUUAAUUAAUAUGUCAUGGUGAAUUAAGCUUACUGAAGUGUGCACAAAUCGCCCGUCGCUCUCGCCAUAAAAAUUUAGGGGAGAUAAGUCGUAACACAGUAAGGGUACUGGAAAGUGUUCUUGAAAGAAU